rnacentral:lncRNA from 10 species
GCACCGCGCGGGGAGCGCGCCGGGGUGCGAGCGGUGCGCGCUCCGAGUGGCCGGGACGCGCGCCAGUCCUGGGAGCUUGCACUGCUCGGGGGGGUUACGUGGAGACUUGCGUGGUGUCCUUUACCGCCGCCGCCUGCCCUCCGGUCCCUGGGCGCUGUGGCUCCGCGUUAGGGUGCUGGCGGGAGGGGUGCCGAUCCGGUUCUGCGCGUCCGGUGGGUUCUCCGGGCCAGCGCCCCGCGGCGCCCGGGCUUUAUGCUGUAAUUGCGCCCGGCGGCGCCCGGCGCCCGCACCGGCGCGCGUCUCGCCCGUGCCGUGCACACGCCCUGCACCGCCCCACUUUGCACACGCACACGCACACGAGUCCUUGGGGCCCUGGAGCAUCGUGCUCGCCUCGCGCCUCCCGGCCCGCCCUUGCGCUCAGUCGCUCCCCAGGGAGCGCCCAGCUGCGAGCAAAACAAGCCUCGCUGCGAAACAGUCCCCCGGGGAGACAGCCCUUUCCCCGGAGCACAGACACCACACCUUCACCGCGCAAGCCUUCGGUCCGGGCCGAACCCGGGCGCUCCGGCGCCUACGCACCCCACGAUUCCUCCCCGGUGCUCCGUACGCCGCCGUGAUCCUCCAUUCCACGGCUCCUCGAUAUCCAUUAUUCAUUAGUGGUAGGUCGCAGAAGCAGGCUAGCUUUUCCCCCAUCGUUCAGUGGAGGAUCAGCAGUGCUACUUGGAAGUUGGUAUUGGAAGAGGCCAUUCCCUGUCUACGUGUCCCUGUCUUGAAGAGGAGAUAAUAACACACUAGUACUUUCGCAAUGCAAUUUUGUUACCGCAAGUGUCAUGCUUUGAAACGACUGUGGAUGAAAGAGACAAAUUCCCCGCUCUCGUUUCCCUUCAGGGUCCCAUGAGCUCCUUUCUUCUUACUGCCAUAUUUUAAGCCCUCCGGUAGUCAGAUUCACAACCAGCCUCUAAAGGGUCGUCAAAUGUCUGUUGUAUCGUGUUGUGUAUUUCCCCUCCCGAGAACCCACAUCCCUUAGAAGGAUCUGAAGGCAGAGGGAGCUGACAUGGAGGCUUCUGCCUUGUCUAUUCAUUUUAUUUACGUUCAUUUAAUUCUCGACUGCAGAGAACCUACAUCUUUUGUAUUUCUCAAAGGUAGAGGUAUUAUCACAUGCUCCAGAAGGGAGUGCAAAAUAACAUCUUCAAAAUAGGCAGCGCCCACGAAGUAGACUGCUGCUACAUAAAUGAGGAAUCCAGGUAUCUGGGUGGACCAGAGUGGACCAAUCAUUGUGAUAAGCAGAGCUUCACUUUUUGGAAAAUUGAACCAAAAUACAUUAUUUAGCAUUGUCUUUGGUUCCCUUUCUUAUCCCCCUCCCUCAGUUUAAUCAGGCAAAAAUCGUCCUCUUCUCCAAUGAUAUUAGACUCUGAGCACCGAGAAAAGGCAGAACUAUAGAGACUAUAUGUUCUGAACCCCAAACUGGACUCAUAGUUUGGCAUGUGGACCUGUGACAGUAGAGAUAAUGUUUGAAACUAAAGUUGACCCAGAAACAUUGAGGCAUAUGGUGGCCAUGAAUGUUAAGACUGCAGAGCAGUGUCACUUAUUAGUGGUUGUUUGAACUGAUAAAGUAUGAGUAGGAACCCCAGGCACAACUGUAAAAAUGGGUACGUUCAUGUUUCGGGUU